AGAGUUUGAUCCUGGCUCAGGACGAACGCUGGCGGCGUGCUUAACACAUGCAAGUCGAGCGGUAAGGCCCCUUCGGGGGUACACGAGCGGCGAACGGGUGAGUAACACGUGAGCAACCUACCCUCAACUUUGGGAUAAGCCUCGGAAACGGGGUCUAAUACCGGAUAAUACUGACCGUCUCAUGGUGGUUGGUUGAAAGUUCUGGCGGUUGGGGAUGGGCUCGCGGCCUAUCAGCUUGUUGGUGGGGUAAUGGCCUACCAAGGCGUCGACGGGUAGCCGGCCUGAGAGGGCGACCGGCCACACUGGGACUGAGACACGGCCCAGACUCCUACGGGAGGCAGCAGUAAGGAAUAUUGCGCAAUGGGCGAAAGCCUGACGCAGCGACGCCGCGUGGGGGAUGAAGGCCUUCGGGUUGUAAACUCCUUUUGCGGGGGACGACAUCGACUGUACCCCGCGAAUAAGGCUCGGCUAACUCUGUGCCAGCCGCCGCGGUAAUAC
rnacentral:rRNA from 1 species